rnacentral:rRNA from 1 species
GCGACCCCAGGUUGGGCGGGG